rnacentral:lncRNA from 1 species
GUGAAACUUCCCGGAUCCUUCUUCUUUUGUGGAAGCUUCUUUUGAAUUAUUGCACUACACUCUUCGGUCAUGUCUACCGUCUCAUCAUCAAGAGGUUUUCGCUUCUUUGUCAAAAGCUCCUUCAUAAAUUUCGCAUAUAUGGGCAUUUGUUCCAAAGCCUCUGCAAAAGGAAUAUUCGCUUGAAGACUAUGAAGCAUUUUCAUGAAAUUUUUGAAGUGUUGGUGC